rnacentral:tRNA from 1 species
GUGAGGGUUCCCGAGUGGCCAAAGGGGCAGGACUUAAGAUCCUGUGGCUUAGUGCCUUCGUAGGUUCGAAUCCUACCCCUCACA